rnacentral:snRNA from 1 species
AGCUUUGCGCAGUGGCAGUAUCGUAGCCAAUGAGGUUUAUCCGAGGCGCGAUUAUUGCUAAUUGAGAAUGAUAUUCGCUGUAGGUUUCUCGUAGAUGGCUUUUAUGAUAUUGAGGUAUGUACCCUCUAUCCCUAUACUCUGAAGAGUUUCAAUCAAGAAAGGAGGCUGUACUUUGUCAAAUGCUUUUUCUGCAUCUAUUGAGAGGAUCAUAUGAUU